rnacentral:rRNA from 1 species
GAUGAACGCUGGCGGCGUGCCUAAUACAUGCAAGUCGAGCGAACAGACGAGGAGCUUGCUCCUCUGACGUUAGCGGCGGACGGGGGAGUAACACGUGGAUAACCUACCUAUAAGACUGGGAUAACUUCGGGAAACCGGUGCUAAUACCGGAUAAUAUAUUGAACCGCAUGGUUCAAUAGUGAAAGACGGUUUUGCUGUCACUUAUAGAUGGAUCCGCGCCGCAUUAGCUAGUUGGUAAGGUAACGGCUUACCAAGGCAACGAUGCGUAGCCGACCUGAGAGGGUGAUCGGCCACACUGGAACUGAGACACGGUCCAGACUCCUACGGGAGGCAGCAGUAGGGAAUCUUCCGCAAUGGGCGAAAGCCUGACGGAGCAACGCCGCGUGAGUGAUGAAGGUCUUCGGAUCGUAAAACUCUGUUAUUAGGGAAGAACAAAUGUGUAAGUAACUAUGCACGUCUUGACGGUACCUAAUCAGAAAGCCACGGCUAACUACGUG